AGAGUUUGAUCCUGGCUCAGGACGAACGCUGGCGGCGUGCCUAACACAUGCAAGUCGUACGGGAUUGGGGGGCAACUCCCAGUUCAGUGGCGAACGGGUGCGUAACACGUGAGCAACUUGCCCUAUGGUGGGGGAUAGCCGGCCCAACGGCCGGGUAAUACCGCAUAUGGCGCUGAGGUCACAUGGCCUUAGUGGGAAAGCGGCCGCAAGGUCGCGCCAGAGGAGGGGCUCGCGGCGUAUCAGCUAGUUGGCGGGGUAAUGGCCCACCAAGGCUACGACGCGUAGCUGGUCUGAGAGGAUGGCCAGCCACAUUGGGACUGAGAUACGGCCCAGACUCCUACGGGAGGCAGCAGUGGGGAAUAUUGCGCAAUGGCCGCAAGGCUGACGCAGCGACGCCGCGUGUGGGAUGAAGGCCUUCGGGUUGUAAACCACUGUCGGGGGGGGCGAAUACCUGGCUUCGAAUAGGAGACCAGGGGUGACGGUACCUCCAAAGGAAGCACCGGCUAACUCCGUGCCAGCAGCCGCGGUAAUACGGAGGGUGCAAGCGUUGUCCGGAAUCACUGGGCGUAAAGGGCGCGUAGGCGGCUAUGUAAGUCAUCUGUGAAAUCCCGGGGCUCAACUCCGGGGCCGCAGGUGAGACUGUGUGGCUAGAGCAUGGUAGAGGCGAGUGGAAUUCCCGGUGUAGCGGUGGAAUGCGUA
rnacentral:rRNA from 1 species